rnacentral:tRNA from 2 species
GGCUCCGUAGUUCAACUGGAUAGAAUAUCAGAUUUCGGCUCUGAUGGUUGCAGGUUCGAACCCUGCCGGGGUCA